ensembl:snRNA U6 U6 spliceosomal RNA
GUGCUCGCUUGGGCAGCACGUACAUUAAAAUUCCAACGAUACAAAGAAUGUUAGCAUGGCCCCUGCAUAGGAAUAACAUGCAAAUUUGUGAAGCAUUCCAUAUUAAA